ACUUUUAUAGGAUAAUAGUAAUCCAUUGGUCUUAGGAACCAAAAACCUUGGUGCAACU
rnacentral:tRNA from 1 species